rnacentral:rRNA from 1 species
UACGUAGGGAGCAAGCGUUGUCCGGAAUCAUUGGGCGUAAAGCGCGCGUAGGCGGCCCUGUAAGUCCGUUGUGAAAGUCAAAGGCUCAACCUUUGAAAGCCGAUGGAUACUGCAGGGCUAGAGUCCGGAAGAGGCGAGUGGAAUUCCUGGUGUAGCGGUGGAAUGCGCAGAUAUCAGGAGGAACACCAAUAGCGAAGGCAGCUCGCUGGGACGGUACUGACGCUGAGGCGCGAAAGCCAGGGGAGCAAACGGG